CGCGCGUGAUGACGCCUUAGGACUGCUGUGAAAUCCCCGAUGCUCCGUGGGGAAGCCAACCUUGGAGAACUGAGCGUGCC